rfam:Tyto alba contig53206, whole genome shotgun sequence.
GAAUAUUCAGGGUCAGUGUACACUAAUAUUU